rnacentral:rRNA from 1 species
GAUGAACGCUGGCGGCGUGCCUAACACAUGCAAGUCGAGCGAUCUUCUUCGGAAGUGAGCGGCGGACGGGUGAGUAACGCGUGGGUAACCUGCCCUGUACACACGGAUAACAUACCGAAAGGUAUGCUAAUACGGGAUAAUAUGCUUUUAUCGCAUGGUAGAAGUAUCAAAGCUCCGGCGGUACAGGAUGGACCCGCGUCUGAUUGGCUAGUUGGUAAGGUAAUGGCUCACCAAGGCGACGAUCAGUAGCCGACCUGAGAGGGUGAUCGGCCACAUUGGAACUGAGACACGGUCCAAACUCCUACGGGAGGCAGCAGUGGGGAAUAUUGCACAAUGGGCGAAAGCCUGAUGCAGCAACGCCGCGUGAGCGAUGAAGGCCUUCGGGUCGUAAAGCUCUGUCCUCAAGGAAGAUAAUGACGGUACUUGAGGAGGAAGCCCCGGCUAACUACGUGCCAGCCGCCGCAGUAA